AAAAAAAUUGAGCUAAAUUUUUUUGUUUUCGGUAUUAUUCCAGGCAUCCUAAAUCUGAGACGGCAGAACUUCCAGCACCAUUGCAUUUCCAUAAGUUCACUUGCGCUUUGAAAGCUCUCUUCAUCAGCUAUGCGUUCUUACUUCAAUCAAUGUUACACCUGUAAAUGAAUGCUGUGCAAAGGGCUCGCAUACACACACUCAUACAUUCCUAAGUACAUGACUAAGCUGUGUGCUCCGGAGGGAUAUUAGCUGCAUGCGCAUCAUUGAGAAAUGGAAAUGAGUGACGCUUUGAUUGUGUGCAUUGUUGUUGCGAAUUUUUAAUGUUCGAACAUCGAAGCUGACCUUGAAAUAUUAUGCAUAUAAUAAUAGUUAAUCAAUAGUUGUGACAGAUCUAAGAAGAGUUUCGAAUUUUCGAAUUUUCGAGAAUACUGGAAUGCGAAAUUAAGGGAAAUCAACUGAAUAAUUCCAAUUGAGGAAUGCAAUAUUAGUUACAAGUGGUAGUGAGUGAGAGCACACGGGAUGCUGGACUGAAGUCGCGAAUAUUUGUUAAAAUUAGUAAAAAGUAUUUCUUAAAUUGUGUUUUUAUUUAAAAUAAAGUUAGAAUCGUUAAUAAAUGCAAAAAAUAGUGUCGUGAAAGUCGUAGUGCGUUAUAUUCCUCGAAAUUAUGAAUAUAUAGUAUGGUGCAAAUACCUUAAGUGAGUAUUCGGGUUAGUUCGUGAGUGUGUGUAGAAUGUGCGUCGGUAUUUUGUGCGGUUCUCGGUUCGCUUGCGUCGCGUGUGUCGGGUAUUAAGUGCGAUAGUUUUAUAAAAAAAAGCGCGUCGUGUAAUACAUAUGUAUACGUAGCCAAGGCAUGUUUAGAAAGGUUAACUUCGCGCGCUCGAAUGCUGCCGUUGAUCGCCUUGCCGCCGCCCGUCAUUGAGCGCGCGCCUUUUGACG